rnacentral:rRNA from 1 species
UUCCUCGGGACGCAGCAGUGAGGAAUAUUGGUCAAUGGGCGGGAGCCUGAACCAGCCAAGUCGCGUGAGGGACGACGGUCCUAUGGAUUGUAAACCUCUUUUGUCGGGGAACAAAGGCGCCCACGGGUGGGCGGAUGAGUGUACCCGAAGAAAAAGCAUCGGCUAACUCCGUGCCAGCAGCCGCGGUAAUACGGAGGAUGCGAGCGUUAUCCGGAUUUAUUGGGUUUAAAGGGUGCGCAGGCGGCCUGUUAAGUCAGCGGUAAAAGCCCGGGGCUCAACCCCGGCGAGCCGUUGAAACUGGCGGG